CAAUGGAUCGAAGGUGUCUAUAGUUCCGUAUUAUCAAAUGAAAUAUAUAAAAAUAAUCUUUUCAAGAAUCGGAGGAGUAUAAUGAAAGAUGCACCUCCUUAUCAAAAUAUUCUCCUCCAUAUCGAAAGAUAUACCUCCAUAUCGAAACUUACUAAUAUUAUUUUAUUUUUUUGUUACAAGAUGUUGGGACAUCUGGCUCUCAUUCACUAGCUGCUAGAGAGG
rnacentral:lncRNA from 1 species